GCCUGGUUAACUCAAUUGGCAGAGUGUCAGACUCUUAUCAUCAAGAUAAAAUCUGAAGAUACAAAGUUAUCUGAAAGCUGCGGGUUCGACCCCCGCAUCGGGCU
rnacentral:tRNA from 1 species